AUCAGCCAUUUCUCCAAGGAGCCCUGGUUCGUUUCAGUUGGGAUGUAUUCAGACACCAAGAUACAGGUGCUAGGGAUGUUCAUUGAUACUAGGUGUCACUGCUUCUGAGUAUUUCCAAUGCACAAGGCAGGGAAAAAUUUUUUUUGAAAGAAGCAAAAAUGUUGUUGUAUCAUAUUGAUAUUUCCAGUUCAAAGUUAAUAUUCCAAGGUGUUUAUGUACUUUUUAAAAGUUUAUACUUCAGGCCGGGCAUGGUGGCUCAUUCCUGUAAUUCCAGCAAUUUGGGAGGCUGAGGCGGGCGGAUCACCUGAGGUCGGGAGUUCAAGACCAGCCUGACCACAGCCUCAAACUCAUGGGCUCAAGCAAUCCUCCCACCUCAGCCUUCCAAAGUUCUGGGAAUACAGGCAUGAGCCACUGCACCCAGCUCAAACACAGUGGCUUUUAUCACUGCUAACUGAUAGGAAAACAGCAUGCAACCAAUUAGGAAAGGGCAGGUAUAUGUAAAAUAGGUGAAGGGUGAGGAUUAAUCAGAGGAAAGUGCAUCAAAUGGAAAAACAAGUUCUCAGUACAGUUCAUAGAUUUAACUUAUAGCUUGGCUUUCAGGUUUUAGACUGGCUUCAGCUUGGAGGUUGGGUUUCACCGGGGACCCGCCCCAUCUGCCUAGGCAUUUGGCUGCCUCCUGUCGGUAUCACUUA
rnacentral:lncRNA from 1 species